rnacentral:rRNA from 1 species
CGGCAACAGCUCAAAUUUGAAAUCUGGCUCUUUUAGAGUCCGAGUUGUAAUCUAGAGAAGCAUUAUCCGCGCUGGACCGUGUACAAGUCUCCUGGAAUGGAGCGUCAUAGAGGGUGAGAAUCCCGUCUUUGACACAGACUGCCAGGGCUUUUGUGAUGUGCUCUCAAA